UCCCGAAGAAUGUCGAUUUGGAGUUGUGCCCUUGAGGCGUGGCUUCCGGAGCUAACGCGUUAAAUCGACCGCCUGGGGAGUACGGCCGCAAGGUUAAAACUCAAAUGAAUUGACGGGGGCCCGCACAAGCGGUGGAGCAUGUGGUUUAAUUCGAUGCAACGCGAAGAACCUUACCUGGUCUUGACAUCCACAGAACUUUCCAGAGAUGGAUUGGUGCCUUCGGGAACUGUGAGACAGGUGCUGCAUGGCUGUCGUCAGCUCGUGUUGUGAAAUGUUGGGUUAAGUCCCGCAACGAGCGCAACCCUUAUCCUUUGUUGCCAGCGGUCCGGCCGGGAACUCAAAGGAGACUGCCAGUGAUAAACUGGAGGAAGGUGGGGAUGACGUCAAGUCAUCAUGGCCCUUACGACCAGGGCUACACACGUGCUACAAUGGCAUAUACAAAGAGAAGCGACCUCGCGAGAGCAAGCGGACCUCAUAAAGUAUGUCGUAGUCCGGAUUGGAGUCUGCAACUCGACUCCAUGAAGUCGGAAUCGCUAGUAAUCGUAGAUCAGAAUGCUACGGUGAAUACGUUCCCGGGCCUUGUACACACCGCCCGUCACACCAUGGGAGUGGGUUGCAAAAGAAGUAGGUAGCUUAACCUUCGGGAGGGCGCUUACCACUUUGUGAUUCAUGACUGGGGUGAAGUCGUAACAAGGGUAACCA
rnacentral:rRNA from 1 species